rnacentral:rRNA from 1 species
GACGAACCGUACGAACGUUAUUCGGAAUCAUUGGGCUUAAAGGGUGCGUAGGCGGUGCGGAAAGUUGGGUGUGAAAUCCCUCGGCUCAACCGAGGAAUUGCGCCCAAUACUGCCGUGCUCGAGGGAGACAGAGGUGAGCGGAACUUAGGGUGGAGCGGUGAAAUGCGUUGAUAUCCUAAGGAACACCAGUGGCGAAAGCGGCUCACUGGGUCUCUUCUGACGCUGAGGCACGAAAGCUAGGGGAGCAAACGGG